AGAUAUGACUGACAGAAUGAUGUUGUAUAAAGCAAUACAGAACUGGUAUGGCAACAGAGGCCUUGUGAGGAAAAGACAGGAGGAGGUGGUGAGGAGAAGCACAGGUCUGGGAUGGUAACAGUGGAGGCACAGGGUGGUGCUGGAGAACCCGUGAUUAUAAACAAAUGCAGACCUGGAGCUGAACGAAACUGGUUUUUAGGGGCAAUGAAGGCAACAAAGGCAUAGUAGCUAGCAUGUGUAAAGGCCACCAAGUAUAGUAAAUUUGGAUGGGAAGUGGAGGUGCAGAUUAAUGAAGAAAGACCAAGGUGUAAAAGCACGUUAGCAAAAAAAGUGUGCUAGCAAGAGAGGUCCCAGACAGCUCCUAGAAUGAGGAAGAUGCUAUCAUCACAAAAAUCACAUCCCUGCUGCUGAAGUACUCACCACAGCAUCCCUUCUGCCCCCCAUCAGAGUGAAGCCACCAACCUUAGGACCCAGGAGCACAGAGGAUGGUGAACGUAACACCAGCAAAAGGGGUAGAAACAAUUUGAACUGUGCCAUUAUUCUUUCCUCUUCUGUAAUAAUUAUACCCAUGAUAAUGAUCAGACUCCACAGAUUUCAGAAAUCGUAACCAUACAUUCUUGGUUUUAUAUCAUAUAUACACGUUUAUAUGUGCACACACACAGACCACAGAGGAUAGGAGAAAAUGUAUUCCAAGGAAAGGCAUGCAAAAAAAAGAACAUUAGAAAUACAUUCUCAGCUCAAGCAUUUGGCCCUAUGUCUCCUGGAGAUUAAGAAAUCCACCGGCACAAAAGGGCAUGAAACACAUGUUGAUAUUGACGUUCGUCAUUUAGUAGGUGGACAGACACGUCUACUGUACCAAACAGCUCUGGAAAAGAGAUUGGACACAUCCAUUCAUCAUUCCCACGAGACAGAGUUUGCUGUAGCCAACAAUCAAAUUAAUUAACUGCUGAAUCUAAUUUACCCAAAUUCUCAUUAAUUCUCCUCUGGGUUGAUUAUUAGGCCUGACAAAUUCCAUCCCCAAAGCACUUUGCUUGAAAAAAUAAUAAUUAGCAAUGGGAAGAGAGCAAAUGAAAGUUGGGACUCCACAAUAGAUGAGGAAACCAUUGCUUUGUUCUCUGAAAUAGAGCGAGCAAAGCUUCACAAGUGCUCCACUGGUUUUGUUUAAGCAUAAUUUUUUAAGAGGACACAAAACCAGGGAAUAAAAAGUACCUAGUGGAAUAGAAAGCAAUGGUGUGGUGCGGGAGAAAUGUUGCAGCUUCACUUUUUUCUCAGAAGCUAGACAUACUGAGCACUUAUUAAAACCUGUUUGCUGUUGGACUCGGUAGUCAACAAGUGAAACCAGAGGUGGUAUAAGAAGGCCACAGUCUCAGUGGAAAAAACUUGUCAGAGUUCAAUGUCAUUUAAUCCUGUCUAACUUGCCCUGCUGCUUUUGUGCUGUGUGGUGCUCAGCAGCAUUUCAGUCGGGGGUAAGCCCAACAUUUAUAGCAAGUCCUGCUUUCACUGCAGAAGCCAUCUGCUGAGGCUGUUCCAUGCUCUACUCCAAGCUCAAAAAUGGGUGGUUUGUUUGUUUUAGCUUUACAAGCUCUGGGAUUACAUUUCUCUAGGAUCUAAGUCAAAAAAUUGUGCCUCAAGAAGGAACCACAAGGGAGGGGCCAAAAGAAUUCAAAAUGGUCACAACAACCCACUUCUUGUAAUAAGAGGGCGUGAUUGAUGAGGCAACUUUCCAGUGGGGCAUAUUUCAAGGGCACAUACAACUGUCAGAUGGCUUAGAACAGUAAUUUUCAUAAAUUUUGAGAGCCAAAACUUUGUACUCACAUACAUGGUAACUGUUGUUCAUAAGAUCACUGCCCAGCUCCUAAAAUUGAAUCCUCUCAGACUGGCAGCGGAGGGUUUUCAUUAGACUGCCUGUGUCUGUUGCCUGGCCUUCUGCAGAGCUUCUGCCAGAAGCAGAAGCAAUUAGCAGUUCCUAGUGCUCAGCACAAGACAUUUUCAUCAGCUAAGCUUUGACGGAUGGAAGUCUCAUCGCAGCAGACACUGGCUGCAUUUGCUCUGUAGCUUCAUUUAUUGGGAGCAUUGACUUGCUAUGGUACUGAGUUUUGUUCAUUAGUACUUAAAUAAAUAAUCCACCUGACUGUGGACAAGAUUCUAGAGCUGUCAGGAAAAGCUGAAGAAAAUCAUUAGUUAUAGGAGAGCUGAAUUCUCCCCCCACAUUUUCAGAAACGAAAGAAGAGUGAGAGGAUCAGAAGUCAGGCUUUUCCGUGCAGAAGUUGCAGGGAUAUUUUAGGAGAGAAAUUGCAUGGUAUGGUGGAAUACAGGACUGAAGUGUUUUAAGUUCUCUUUCAAUGAAAGAAAAAAGGUCAUAAAUCCACUCAUUUUGAGAUCACAAGGGUACCAUUCAGAUCAGCUGCUUGGCUCUUUUGCACAACACAAGCCAAACUAGUUUAACCACUUCCACACUAUGUCAGCAUGGAGAGAGUCCUCCAGCUGCUCUGCUUUAGCCCUUUGUAGAUACCAGACCGAGCUGUCAGUAAGAUCAAUAACAUAGGACUAUCCUUUAAAGCAUGCUUUGGGCAUUGCACGUAAGCGUUCUGAGCUGGAGUUAAGACAAACCAUCAAGAAAUGCAACUGAACUACAGUGCUCCUCUCAUGUGAUGUUGGGUAUUCAACUGGAUUAACCCAGAAGAUGAAGAAUUUUCCUUUGGCAAACUAUGUCAGUGCUUAAUUAGCUUUGCCAAUAAAAAACUGUACUUAUUUCCCGUUAAGAAUACUUCUAGAAUAACUUUGCAAAUGUCCAGGCUGUGGGGCAGGAUUUUCCAUUUCCCCCCUUGUCUCCUUUAUGAUUUAACUUUUUAUCCCUCAUCAUACCAAGCAAAUGACAGCUCAUCACAGCUAAUGAUGAAUAAUUUGGGGUAAAAGUCUAAGAUAUUCCACCUUGAAGUGUUAAUUCAGUAACUUCAUAACAAUGCCUUAUGAUGUAGGUCAUUGCCUCAUGACUCUUAAAACAGCUCCUGAUGAGGGAAAACCCAGUGCAUCAGGGAAGACAAAAGCUAAAAAAUGCCCUUAAUAUAGAGGCAUUACAGCUUUCACAACAUAUUGACCUCAAUUACCUAGAACGUAGAAAAGAUAGUCCAAUAUCUGAUUUUAACUUCCUUAAUGCUUGUUGAAAUAACAUUAAUAAUAAAAGGCUACCUGUGAAACCAAGAUAAACUAAUUUGAGUUCUCACUUGAACUGACAGAAAACAUUCCAAAAACAUUUUUUUUUUUUUUUAACAUCUGUAUUAUCACUGGGGAGCCAGACCCACCUCGUUGGAAUCCAGUGGCAAUGUCUCAUUGACUCCACUAGGCUCAGCUCAGGACUAAUCCCAGAGGGCUUAUUACACACCAGAAGUGCACGCUUCUGUAGCUCUAUCCAGACUCACCUCAAGGCAUACCACAGAACAGGGUCACGUGGGUUUUGCCUCACAUGGAUACCAGGAGUCCCUGACCUGGCAGUCUCUGGUAGAAGCAAUGAGACACAGCGGUUUUGCCACCCCUGCAAAAGUCCAUUGAUCAAACACCCACUAAUAUCGAUUGCCAGGGGAGUUAACACAAACACUUCGUGUACAGAAACAACUUCCUUUUUGUUUUUUUUUUUUAAUCACUCGAAGUGUUGUUAUUUUUCUACAGUCCAGGGCUGCCCAGAUGACUAACUCUUCACAACCAAAUUAAAACUACAUCAUGACAUUGUUACAGCAGCUUCUGAAAUUUUAAAAGGUGAGGAAGGAAAUUCUAAAUCAAAAAACAAAACCCCCGUCCCACGAGAUGGUGAGAGGUGAUUAAAAGCAAGACAGUUACAGAUGAAUGUUGAUUGGAAUCGAAGGUGAAAAGCAGCAGCUUCUGCGUAUGAAGUGACAAGGGGCUCUCUGUCAUAGAUGAGAGGUUUCAUCAUAAAGAAGGGGAAGUCCUGAGCUCAAUUCUAAAGAGAUGCCCAAGAGAGAGAAAGAAAGAAAACACAGUCUGAAGGGAGGCUACAGAAGAACAGCAGAGCAAGUCACUGAACUUUGUUUGAUGAGAUGGAGAUCAGCACAUCGUCUUCCCUAGAUUCUGAGCAAAGACAAAAGACAAGAUUUUGAGCACUGACAGAGAAAGACAAGGUGGAAUAUUUUUGUGACGCUCCUGAAAGGACUCCACCAACAUCUUAGGGAUGGUGUGGCAUAAAUGUAUUUGUAAGUAUUCUGAGAAAAACGAGAGCUUCAUUACACGGUGAUUUAAUGAAUCCUCACCUCUCCCUAGUAAUAGUUGGGAACAAUUCAGGAGUCUCUGGAGUCCGAUUCAAAGCCCGGUGAAAUCAAUAAAAACUUUGUACUGCCUGCAGUUCCGUUUGGAUCAGU